rnacentral:lncRNA from 1 species
CCCGAUGGAAAAACCUGGAAGUAUGCUUUGAUUCGCCCGAGAUCAACUACCGCUAGCUUUUGAACACUUCGUCCGGUGUUGCUUUGCUCUUCGCGUCCAAAUGUCGUAAGCUCUCCUUGUCCGCCGUGGCUUGUACCUGAAAAUAACGCACAAAAAAAACGAGGGGAGCUGCCUAGCUUGGGAAAGGGGGAGGGGUUGCCUUACU